AGGUAGAAAGUGACUUGUGUUUCAAAGGCAAUAUUACAAAAAGUAAUAAAGAUUAAAAAAAUUAACCUACAUUUUCGUGGAUAGGAAAGAUUGAAAAAAUUAUUAGUAUUUUUUUUUAAUUGAUCACUCCGAUUCUUGAACAAGAAAAAUCGAUUCAAAGUAUGACAAGCCCGCCAUAGACUUUACAUGUUAAAAGCAGAAUUGAGGAGUCUGCUUGGUGCAACACUUUUCUCCCGGCAACCACGAUUCAUGACCCUGAUUUUCUGCUCUUUUGGGAAUGCCGUGUAUAUUUUUGUUUGCCAAGGACCCUACAAACUUUUUCGCCAAAGCAAUUGGCGUUGUUUAAACAAAAGCUAUUGUUAGAGGCUUGGCAAACAAAAAUAACUCACUCCGCCCAGUUACCAAUUCCUAAAUUGACCAAAUAUCCUCUUUAUUUCGGGCCGAACUCUUACUGAAGGCUAGAAAGGAAAUGGAAAGGCCUUCUCAGAGUAUCCUUUGGCCAAAAGCAAAACAAAGAACGGGGUGAAACUCUAUUCUUGGAAAAGCCGUAUUGAGAAGCAGUAGUUAGAAAUAACGCACUAAAACUCAAAAAACGGCAGAAAAAUUUUAUCCAGUGCAAUCUUUUCCACUUUUGAGUUCCCAGUAAGCAUUGUACAAUAAUAUUUUUGCCACUUAGCGAACUAAAAAGCGACAUAAUUUUUUGGUGCAAAUAUAUAAACCCACUUUAAUGAGAACACAUAUAAACUGUAAACAAAACAAUUCAAAUCAAAUUUUGUUGAAGGAGAUAUUUGUUUUUAUUUCGUCCUGAAGCUAGUUAACAAGACAUACUGAGCUAUGACGAUGUCUGUGUGUUCCUUGUCUAUUAUGUCUAUAACGGGACUGAAUAUCACUAAGAAAAAGGAAAACAAACCAGAAUCUUGGAUUGAUAAACAACUGAAAGAACUCACCAAUGGAUCAGUUGCAAAGGAAAUGGCAAUAGGAGGUCUUUCUGGAUGGUAUCUGAUUCUAAAUAUCAUUUGAAUAACUCAUUUGUCUAUUAUAUUUAUAGUCACAGUACAUGAGUAAUCAAGUUUGUUUUGAAUCUUGGAUAAUAUAUUUGAUUGUAUGUUUUGUAUAAUAGUUACAAUAGUAAUAAAAAUCUGUGCAUCAGAA